rnacentral:rRNA from 1 species
UCGGGUUGUAAAGCACUUUUGUCCGGAAAGAAAACUUCUGUCCUAAUACGGCGGGGGGAUGACGGUACCGGAAGAAUAAGCACCGGCUAACUACGUGCCAGCAGCGCGGUAAUCGUAGGGUGCGAGCGUUAAUCGGAAUUACUGGGCGUAAAGCGUGCGCAGGCGGUUCGUUAAGACAGAUGUGAAAUCCCCGGGCUUAACCUGGGAACUGCAUUUGUGACUGGCGGGCUAGAGUAUGGCAGAGGGGGGUAGAAUUCCACGUGUAGCAGUGAAAUGCGUAGAGAUGUGGAGGAAUACCGAUGGCGAAGGCAGCCCCCUGGGCCAAUACUGACGCUCAUGCACGAAAGCGUGGGGAGCAAACAGGAUUAGAUACCCUGGUAGUCCACGCCCUAAACGAUGUCAACUAGUUGUCGGGUCUUCGUUGACUUGGUAACGUAGCUAACGCGUGAAGUUGACCGCCUGGGGAGUACGGUCGCAAGAUUAAAACUCAAAGGAAUUGACGGGGACCCGCACAAGCGGUGGAUGAUGUGGAUUAAUUCGAUGCAACGCGAAAAACCUUACCUACCCUUGACAUGGACGGAACCUGGCUG